rnacentral:misc_RNA from 1 species
GAUGAAGAACGCAGCGAAAUGCGAUACGUAAUGUGAAUUGCAGAAUUCAGUGAAUUAUCGAGUCUUUGAACGCACAUUGCGCCCCCUGGUAUUCCGGGGGGCAUGCCUGUCCGAGCGUCAUUGCUGCCCUCAAGCCCGGCUUGUGUGUUGGGUCUCGUCCCCCUUCCCGGGGGGACGGGCCCGAAAGGCAGCGGCGGCACCGCGUCCGGUCCUCGAGCGUAUGGGGCUUUGUCACCCGCUCUGUAGGCCCGGCCGGCGCUUGCCGAUCAACCAAAACUUUUUUCCAGGUUGACCUCGGAUCAGGUAGGGAUACCCGCUGAACUUAAGCAUAUCAAUAAGCGGAGGA